CUCAUGACUUGAGUUGCCGUUUUGAGUACCAGGUCCCCCACCAGAAUUCGUCGUGGUACUACUGCGGUAUUGUAUUGUCAUCGCAGUCUUUCAUGGUACCGUUCAAGCUUUUCUUUAGCCUUAUCUCGAAAGUCAACUAAGGCCUCCAGGGCUGCUGGUCGGUUUUCUUCCUCGACCAAGCUUCGAAGUCUCAUUCGAGCCGAAGGUAUUUCUAUUUCAGCGGGCAAAACAGCUUCUUCACCAUAAACCAAAGCAUAUGGGGUCUCGCCUGUAGGCUUCCUUUUUGAAGUUCGAUAUGCCCAUAACGCUAUUGGUAAUUGUUCUGCCCAUAUCUUC
rnacentral:lncRNA from 1 species